CAGCAGCCACGGUAAUACGUAGGGCGCAAGCGUUAUCCGGAAUUAUUGGGCGUAAAGAGCUCGUAGGCGGUUUGUCGCGUCUGCCGUGAAAGUCCGGGGCUCAACCCCGGAUCUGCGGUGGGUACGGGCAGACUAGAGUGAUGUAGGGGAGACUGGAAUUCCUGGUGUAGCGGUGAAAUGCGCAGAUAUCAGGAGGAACACCGAUGGCGAAGGCAGGUCUCUGGGCAUUAACUGACGCUGAGGAGCGAAAGCAUGGGGAGCAAACAGGAUUAGAUACCCCCGUAGUCCCUGUCUCUUAUAC
rnacentral:rRNA from 1 species